GGAAAAGUGGGUUUGUCCGAAGCGAAAGCUCGUUCCAGCUACCAGAAACACCUGUAAGGAUUAACGAGGAGUGAAGAGAGGUAGGGCCCGUCCUUAAUGCCACCACUACAGAAAUGCUAAUGUGGUGGAGGAAAAAAGUGUGAUAUCAAAGGAGGCUUUGCACACCAGUCUAUGCCUUAAGGCUAAAGCUCAUGGUCCCCCGGCUCUGGUUCCAAUACAAUGAGGUGACUUUAAAUAGGACACUGUUCCUCCAAAAACUGAUGCGAGAAUCUGCAGCCAUGUUAGGAUCAACCAUAGUCUGUGGGAUCAACAGGCUCAGUCUGUUUUUGGGGGCCUUUUUGCAGCUUUAUUCAGUAGAUUACAGUGGAGAGAGAAAGGGGGGAAGACACGCAGUAAAUGGCCACGAACCC